AAUGUUGUUGAUUCUAUGAAUAAUUUGGAGGUAGCUAUGUAAUUUUCACCAAUGGGUUCUGUUAUAGUUGACUAUUCUUGGGAGAAUCUUGGGAAUCUUAAAUUUAGUGUUAACGGACUGACAGUUCCUUGGUUGGGCUUAGAUCUGGAAUGCUUUAAUAUUCAUUCCCUACUCCUAGUUAUGACAUUGUCAAUCUAUCUAAAUGAAAGGGUUUGAGGUUUUUCUAGGAUAAAGGUUGAUCAUUAAUUCAUGGGUAAAGUUAAGAGAAGAAAAAGGAUUAUAGAUUAUGAAAAGUAUUCGAUGCUAAUGCUUUAACCUAUUUGCAUUAAGCGAUUAUGAUUUCUGUCCGGAAUUAAUCAUGAACAAUUAAUUUCUUGGGCAAACAAUUAUGGUAUUUGAAAUCCAAGGUUGAAAGAUUAGCCUUCUUUUGGAAGAGAUCAAAACAACUCCUAUGUGUUACAGGUAGAAAGGGUCAAGUUUUGAGAUGCCGUGAUUUUGCCAAAAAUUUUGUGAGUAAGCACUCUCUGAGUGAGACUACUUUGGAGCUCGAGAAUGAUAUGAUGGUUACAUACCUUCAAAGUUUGAAGCUCCAAGUAAGUUAAUUUCGAGGACAAAAUUUCUUUUAAGGGGGAAAGAAUGUGAGAGCCCAGUUCAUUAACCGGCCGCAUACAGCUAGACCAGUGGGCCAGGCCUAUUGGCCGUUGCGGCCUCUAACUCUUCGGGGGCUAUAAAAGCUUCGCACGUCCUUCCUCAGCGAUAGGGUUUUCUGUACCCACGUUGAUGCCGCCGGAGAGGGGCGUCGCAGUUCAUCCCCGAAGCCAGGUACAGUGGAGUUGCCCAACUGUACUUAGGGAUUCGUGAGCGAAUCAAUAUGAAUAAGACUACUAGGAGCAGGGAGCUUGGUGUUAUUCAGGGUUGG